GGCUGGGUGGCGCAAUGGAUAGCGCGUCUGACUUCGGAUCAGGAGGUUGUGGGUUCGAGUCCCAUCCUAGUCG